rnacentral:rRNA from 1 species
GCGUGAGAAUCUGCCCUCAGGAGGGGGAUAACGGCUGGAAACGGCCGCUAAUACCCCAUAUGCCGAGAGGUGAAAUGAAUUUCGCCUGAGGAUGAGCUCGCGUCUGAUUAGCUAGUUGGUGGGGUAAUAGCCCACCAAGGCUUCGAUCAGUAGCUGGUCUGAGAGGAUGAUCAGCCACACUGGGACUGAGACACGGCCCAGACUCCUACGGGAGGCAGCAGUGGGGAAUUUUCCGCAAUGGGCGAAAGCCUGACGGAGCAACGCCGCGUGAGGGAUGAAGGCCUCUGGGCUGUAAACCUCUUUUAUCAAGGAAGAAGAUCUGACGGUACUUGAUGAAUAAGCCACGGCUAAUUCCGUGCCAGCAGCCGCGGUAAUACGGGAGUGGCAAGCGUUAUCCGGAAUUAUUGGGCGUAAAGCGUCCGCAGGCGGUCUUUUAAGUCUGUCGUCCAAAGCGUGGAACUUAACUCCAUUACUGCGAUGGAAANCUGGAAGACUAGAGUGUGGUAGGG